AACGAACGCUGGCGGCGCGCCUAAUACAUGCAAGUCGAGCGAGAAGACGUAGCAAUACGUUUGUAAAGCGGCGAACGGGUGAGGAAUACAUGGGUAACCUACCCUCGAGUGGGGAAUAACUAGCCGAAAGGUUAGCUAAUACCGCGUACGCUCCUUGGACUUCGGUUCAGGGAGGAAAGCGAUACCGUGGGUAUCGCGCUCAUGGAUGGGCUCAUGUCCUAUCAGCUUGUUGGUGAGGUAACGGCUCACCAAGGCUUCGACGGGUAGCUGGUCUGAGAGGACGAUCGGCCACACUGGCACUGCGACACGGGCCAGACUCCUACGGGAGGCAGCAGUAAGGAAUAUUGCGCAAUGGGCGAAAGCCUGACGCAGCGACGCCGCGUGGGGGA
rnacentral:rRNA from 1 species